CGGGUGUAGCUCAGUUGGUUAGAGCGCCGGCCUGUCACGCCGGAGGUCGCCGGUUCGAGCCCGGUCACU
rnacentral:tRNA from 1 species